GCGCAAGCCUGAUGCAGCGACGCCGCGUGCGGGAUGACGGCCUUCGGGUUGUAAACCGCUUUUGAUCGGGAGCAAGCCUUCGGGUGAGUGUACCUUUCGAAUAAGCACCGGCUAACUACGUGCCAGCAGCCGCGGUAAUA
rnacentral:rRNA from 1 species